UUUUAAUUCAACAUCGAGGUCACAAUCUUAAUUAUUAAUAAGAACUUGCUAAUUAAAUAAUGCUGUUAUCCCUAGAGUAACUACUUAUUUUCCCUUUAACUUUCAAAAUUAAAAAUUCUUUAAAACUCUUCAAAUUAUUGCCCCAAUAAAAAUUUUUAUUAUAAAUUCAAGCUUCUAGGGUCUUCUCGUCCCAAAAUAUUAUAAAAGCAUUUUUACUUUUAAUUUAAAUUCAAAAUAACUUAAUAAAACUUUCCUAUUAGUUUUCACCUUUCAUACCAGCCCCCAAUAAAAAAG
rnacentral:rRNA from 1 species